AUGGCUUUCGCUAAUGGUCUCAAGUUAGCUGCCCUGUGUGUGUUGGUCCUGACUGUGGGCCAACUGAUGGCAGUUGCUGAUGCGUCGGCUCCACUCAUGCAGUCUGUAGAGCAGGAGCGCUCAACCUUCGAGGAUUGCCCCUGCAGCCCAGAUAAAUUGUGGUGUUGCCUCCGAGCAAGCGGAGUCGCAAAACCCUUCAAGGAUUGCCCCUGCAGCCCUGAUAAAUUGUGGUGUUGCCUUAAAGCAAGCAGAGUCGCAAAACCCUCCGAGGAUUGCCUCUGCAGUCCUCGUACCAGGUUUUGUUGCCUUCAAGCAAGCGAAAUCCCAAAAGCCUCCGAGAAUUGA
rnacentral:rRNA from 1 species